UACAGAGGGUGCAAGCGUUAAUCGGAAUUACUGGGCGUAAAGGGCGCGUAGGUGGCCCCUCAAGCGUGCGGUGAAAGUCAGGGGCUCAACCCCUGAUCGGCCGUGCGAACUGGGGAGCUUGAGCACUGUAGAGGCAGGCGGAAUUCCGGGUGUAGCGGUGGAAUGCGUAGAGAUCCGGAAGAACACCGGUGGCGAAGGCGGCCUGCUGGGCAGUUUUGCUGACACUGAGGCGCGACAGCGUGGGGAGCAAACAGG
rnacentral:rRNA from 1 species